rnacentral:rRNA from 1 species
UACGUAGGGUGCAAGCGUUAAUCGGAAUUACUGGGCGUAAAGCGUGCGCAGGCGGUUAUGUAAGACAGAUGUGAAAUCCCCCGGGCUCAGCCUGGGACCUGCAUUUGUGACUGCAUCGCUAGAGUACGGCAGAGGGGGAUGGAAUUCCGCGUGUAGCAGUGAAAUGCGUAGAUAUGCGGAGGAACACCGAUGGCGAAGGCAAUCCCCUGGGCCUGUACUGACGCUCAUGCACGAAAGCGUGGGGAGCAAACAGG